UUAAAUAGAGAAGAGAUAAGAAAAAUCUGUGUUGGAAACCAAUGGUACACACACUGCUUCAGGUACUUGAGGAUUGCUCGAUUUAGGCAUUUUCCUAGUGCGUAUUUGGAAUAUAUUUUUCUGCUUUCUGAGGCUCUCUUCAGUUUUGCUCCCUGGCUUUUGAGAAACAGACUAAUUUGUUUUCUUUACUGGCUGAACAUGGAGCAAGUCCAGGGUAGGAGUGGUAUGAUUACGGGUUUGUCCUUAAUUCUUAGCCUCUCCUUUAAGCAGUAAGGGAAGAAGUCACCACACAUCCCAGCUGGAGGAGGGAACAUGACUGGCUCACUUCAGCACCCUCACCAUUGUUCCAGAUAUCCAAGGCCCUCCUUGGACCUCAACAAGACUUAAGCCGCUGCAGAGACGGUGUAAAUGUGGAGUGGCUGGUUGGGGACAGAGUGAAACUCCUGGAAUCAGAUGGUGAUCUGCUGAUAAGCUGGGUCUGUGCCAGCCAGCAGAGUCCAUGCGUGCAAGAGCCUGGAGUCUCCCCCUGUGAAGGCUUGGGGCUGGUUGGGCAGUAAGCCUCACAGUAAUCCUUAGUCCUGUUAGAUGGGAGUUCUAAAUUUAUUUUCAAAGAAUUAAUAUGUCAGUAUGUUCAAUUCUUUGCCUUCUACUUUUAAACUUAACUUCCUC
rnacentral:lncRNA from 1 species